AUGUUGGAUUUUGGAUUUUUAUGGUGGUGGUUAGGGUUAUGUUUGAAUAGCUGAGACUGGUAUAGCAGUUGUGCCUGUUCCUGGAGCCUCCUCAUCAGGUCAGGAGCCUUAGGCCCCUUCCACAUUGCUCCUAUAUCCCAGGAUCUGAUCCCAGAUUAUCUUCAUAUUCCAGAUUAUAUGGCAUCAGAGAAUCAUAUAAUCCAGUUUAAAUCAGAUAAUCUAGGAUCAGAACCUGGGAUAUAGGGCAGUGUAGAAAGGACCUUGGAUAUACCUAUUGUGGUAUAUUAUAGCAUACUCUCUAUAAAACUGCCUUUACAUAAAAAUUAACAUUUCCCAGGAUGCUGCAAUCAGGCUCCUUGCACACUGCCAUAUAAUUCAGAUUAUCAAAUCAGAUACUCCACAUUAUCUGUUUGGAACUGGAUUAUAUAAGUCUACACUCAAUUUUAUUUAGCAAUGUAGAAGGGGCCUCAGACUGUUGACUGUGCUCUUCAGCUGUUUCUGGGUAGCUAAAUCAGAAUGCUGGUUAGUCCUAUAAAUAAGAUCAAUCUGUUAUGAAUGUUCUCUUAUGAGCUUGCCUUGAAACUGAGAUAUUUGAGUGAAGAACUUCCCUUUGUCCAGUCACCACCAGAAGCAUGAUGGAUGGGGAUGUCAGACGUCAUUUUGGUGGCUCGUCUCAGGCUCAACGCCUCUUUUUCUCUUUACCUUAUCCCAACAGUCGAAGACACUUUUUAUUCAAGCUGUACUUUGACAUGUAAACUGGGGUCCAGACUAUUCCAUUAUAGCACUGCAAUUUCAUUUCAACUGCUAUAGCUGCAACCUAUGGAACACUUGAAUUUGUAGAGCAUUCUUGCUGAGAAUUCAAGUUGUUCCUCCGUAUACAACACAUCCCAGAUCACCUGUGCUUUUAUUGUCUAUUCCUGCACAUCAGGGGGUUGGGCUGGAAAGCCUUUAUGGUCUCUUCUACCCCUAUUAUUCUAUGAUUGUAUGAAUUGUGGAAUCAUAGUGCUAUAACUGCAAGGUGUGAAUGGGACCAGUUGCUGAUAGGAUUACCUCUAUUGAAUUAUACAGUAAUGGGCAGUAGUCAACUGGGGAAGCUAAUACAUUUAUUUAGGUUCCUCAUAUAUUGGGGUUUUAAUUUUAGUGUGAGGAAGGCCAACAUUUGGCCCACAUCCAUUUCUUUGAUGGUUCUGAAGCUCCUGGUCAAUCCAAUGUAAUGGGAAUUGUGUAGAAAAAGGUGAACAACAUUGCUGGAUCCAUGAGUCCCAGUUCUUAAAUAUGUGAGGAUAUUUUCCCUCACAUUUCCUUCUUUUAAAACAUGAGGAAACUCACAUUCAGCUCAUAAGAGGUCUUGACAGGGAAAAUUGGGCCACAGGUAUGUUAAGGUUACCUACCCCUAAACUAGAACAUUGGCAGUGUCUGCUUUCAAGUCAUUUCUGACUUAUGGCAACCCUAAGGCAAACCUAUCACUGGGUUUUCUGGAGAUGAGAGUGUGUGACUUGACCAAAGUCAUCCGGUGGGUUUCCAUGGUCAAGUUGGGAACCCGCCUCUGGUCUCCAUAGUCAUAAAGGAUAGAUAUAUCAAUAUUUAGAGCCAAAGGUCUACUUUCUAAUUCAGUAUGUGCACCAGGCACAUGGCAUGGAUAUUUAAAAAGUAACACGAAGGUUUGAUUGAGGAGGACGGCAGUAUUUAUUUUCACACACACACAUCCACUUCAUCAGCAAUUAUGACGGCCACUCAGGGAGAACAUUUUCCAAGGUGAACUGAAAGAAGGCAGACAGAGAAGAAAAGUUUUUAGCCUUUGAAAAGCUUACAGCUCAAAGGGGAAUUGUCAUUGACAAGGAACCCUCUUACAGAUUCUUACACUUUCAUGCCAGUUUAACGUCAUCAUCAAACAAUCAUCUUUUUACUAUUUAAGAUCUGGACCCCAGUGAUUUGUUCUUAAGUAUAUGAGUGCAUUUAACUCUUUUUUUUGAAAUAGUGAUGGUGCUAGUUUUAAAAAAAGUGUUGUAAAAUCCUUGUCACAUUCAUUCUCACCACAUGGCAUAGCUGAACAAUGUGCGAGGACAAAAUGAGGGCAUCCGGGUGCAAAUUGAUCUGUGCCCUAGAAAUCCCUGUGAGAUCUCAGAGGAAUCGUUCACGUGUUCCCUUCCCGCUAAGCCAGUCAUGCCAGAAGCGGCACAGUAUUAGUGAUACCACUUUAACUGCCAUGGCUUUCUGAUGGUGUUUAUAGUUUAGUGAGGUCCCAGCAUUCUUCGGCAGGGAAGGCUAAAAACCUUGUACAAUUAUAACUCCCAUAAAGCCAUGGUAGUUAAAGUGAUAUCAAACUGCAUUAAUUGUGGCAUUUGUAGUCUGGUGAGAGAAUUCUUUGCCGGAGCUCCCUAGUACAGUGGUGCCCAAACAUUGGUCCUCCAGGUGUUUUGGAUCAUCUCCCAGAAUUCCUAACAACUGGCCAAGCUGACUGAGGUUUCUGGGAGUUGAUGUCUCCAGCACCUGGAAGACAAAUGUUUGGGAAAAACUGUUCUUAUGGCUCACCAAACUCCACAGACCAGGAUUAUUUAUGGGAUGCAUUAUGACGUUUAAAGGGGAAUAAAUGUGCUAUGGUUUUUGUAGUGUCAACGAGACCCUAGACUCCUUUCUCCAAGUCCUGCACUGUAGCAAUUUGGUUUAUUCAGUGCUCCUGAUAUGAUAAAACAGUGCAUUUCCCUCCCACCCAUCCACCCCCGACACAGCUAGUUACUGGAUAGAGAGGGGGAGCAUUUCUCAGUGUCUGGGGGCUGUGUUCAAUUUGGGGAAAUGAUUGAUGGAAAGGCAGUGAGUGGGGUUGAGUAAAAGGACUGAUUUCUGUCUCCCACACCAUCUCCUGCCCAUCAAAUCUGACUGGCAUUUUUGCUAGUUCUAAAAUAGUAUGGAGCUUCACAGAGUCAUAAGUAUUCAGUCAUGCUCGUUCCAAUGACUUUCCAAGAGCGGUGGGGAGGAAUGCUUUUGAGAGCAAGCUCCAUCUGAGAUUAAGGGCCUAGAGGAAAAUUCCAGAAAGGUUCAAUGAGACCUGAAUAUGCUGAACAGUCAGAGUACUGAACAUCUCUUAUAAGAAAACAAGAAAACGAUGCAGUGGUAUGGAAUGGAGUAACCUUGAGAAAGAGAUGGCUGGCUUCAAAAGGAGCCCUCUACACUGCAAGAUUCAUUGCAAGUAAUAAGGUAUACCCCAUAAUGAAGUGAACAACAACUUUGGAGACCAGGUUUGUAUUCCCCGCUUUGCGCUGGAAACCCACCAGGAGACUUUGUGUGGGUCAGACAUUCUGAGCUCCCCACCUUCAUCCGAAAACAUGAAAACUUUGCCUAGGGCCACCAUAAAUUAGAAACAACUAGAAGGCACACAACAAUAAUGUACUUCAGUAAAUUAGUGAACAGAAAAUUUGGAACCAGAGGUACAAACAACCUAAAAAUGAUAGUGAUAGAUUCUGAUGCAACAAAAAGAAGUGCAAUUCAAACCUCAUCUGAAAUGAAGCAAUCUGAUCAGGUAAGCCUUGAAUAGACAAAAAAAUAUUUUGAAUCUAUCAUGGCAGGAUUUAUUUCUCCUGUGAAAGCUGCCUUGACCACCUUAUAACAAUUCUGUGCAGUCACACCAAACAUGGCAUCAGACUUCUGGUGAGCAAAGUCACGGUAGAUGGGGGGAGCACCACAAACAACCUGGACUUCUCCAGAGUCCUUGGCCCUGUUGACUGUCUGGAUGAGCUCCCCCAAGAUCUUCUUGUCACUAUUCAUCUUCCAGCUCCCACCCACAAAGAACAUCCUUGCAAUUAUGCUGUGGGUGUAGGUGGGUGGUGAGGAGGGCAGCGGAAGAGAUGGCAAGGUCAAGAAGCACCACCUCCUCCACAUAAACAUGCUUGAAAAGCCUUAUACAACUCAAGCACUUAAAAGAUAUUUGGUCAAAAUAUUAUGUUCCAAUGGAGUUUCUGGUAACCAGAGGAUACAAAAGCAAGAAAUAAUAACGUAGCUGUCCCUGAUUUAGAGGAUCUCCAGAAUGAAAUGAAAUGAGACCUUUUGGAAUGACUGUGUGUUGGCUUUCAUUCUGCUUUUGAAAGACACAACAUUGCCAAGGCAGAGUCAAAACAAAAGGCUUGCAAUCAAAGUGCCUUGUGCUGACUCAGUGGCAAAAGGAAUUGUUACGAAACUAUGCCUGACCUCGGACUGAUUCACUGGUCAAGAAACAAAUAAGACAUCCUUUAUUUCAAUGUUUUCUAAAGAGGGAGAGGGAAUCCUUUCACACAGAAUUGUCAUUCCACAAAUCAGAACCUAUUUUGUGUUUUCACUGUUCGUUAAAAUUUUUUUAAAAGGCAAGGGGGCAAGUGCUCAAGAGCAGCUUCUUUGAGUUUUGUUUUGUUUUUAGACUUGUGAUGGCGUUAUUUUGCUUUGCUGUUGAUUCUGAAUCUGGAUUGCAAGUAUGGGGAAAAGGUCAGGGACUCUUGUUUCACCCUAUUCUUGAAUGCCUGGUUAAAGCAGGCACUGUGUAAAUGAGAGAAUGAAAAAACAGAACAUUGGGUUUAAAUAAAAUGAAUGUCUUGACUGAAUGAGCAGGGCUUUCUUCUCUAUUUUUGUUCUCCCCUCUUUUUUUUCUCCACAUCAUUCCUCCGGGCAACAAUGUUUUGAAAGCUGGAGGCAAGCUUUUAACUAAGCAGGGAAUCACUCAAGUAUUCUAUCUUGCUCUGUGUCAGGUCACACAUUCCAUCAGACUCUUUGCACAGAAAAGUAGAAAGUUGAGCACUUAAGAGAACAUGAUGUUGUCAGCUGCAAACAAGCUUUUGCAACUGGAAGCCCCAUAACAGUAAGCCAUCUUAGAAGCAUUAAUUGUUACAAGGCUUAGUUUUGCAUACUCUCCCCUACCCUUUCUUCCUCCAGCAUGGCCAUGAGGAAGUUUCUAUUUCUGGUUCCAAUCAACAACAGCGUAACAUUAAACUUACGUUCUAAACUAUGGUUCAUUAUACAGUAGAGUUCCGGUUAACCAAUUUCCAGUUAUCCGACCUACCAUAUUAUCUGACGUGCCAGGCCGGCCCUUUAGAGGCCCUUUGGAGCUCGUCUCUCUGGCAAGCACUCAGCCCUUUGGAGGCAUCCCAUGAGCACUGCUAGGCAGCAACACACACGGAGCUUGCCGGGAGGGAUAAUAGGGCCUCCCUAUUAUCCAUCAGUUCCAAUUAUCCAACAUUCGGCCUGCCCGUUUAUGUCAAAUAACUGGAACUCUACUGUACUAUAAUAUGUUGAAAGAUGCUAGGUUUUCAAACUGUGGUUUGAACUUGGCUUCUUUUAUUAAACCAUAGUUAAGAUUAUCUGCAGAAUUUUAGGGUCUGAUGACAUGACAACCAGUAGUUAAUCCAAAAGGGCAUAUUACUGUUGUUUGCCAUCAAUUCAACUUUGAUUUAUACCAAUUCCAUGGCAGAGAUCUCCAAGAGAUCAGGUCUCACAAACUCAGGAAUGAUAUAAUAAAUCCACCUGUCACAAGUCCUUCAUCUUUUCCUACUGCAUUCCACUUUGUCGAGCAUUAUCGUCUUUUCUAGUGAGUCAUGUCUCAGGCUGCAAGUCCCUUCUGGUUCUGGUCAAAGGACAUUUAGGAUAAUGCCAAGUUUUUAAACUUUGUCUUUUUAAAUACAUUAUAACUGUACCCUCGGUUCACUGACACGAUAAAUAAAUACGGUAAAUGUCAUCUCAUUAUGUCUCCAAAGUACAUUACCCCCAGUUUAGUCAUCAUGGCUUCUGAGGAGAGUUCAGGCCUGAUUUGUUCUAGGUCCCAUUCAUGUAUCAUAGAAGAUUGAUCUCAUAGAUCUGUAGAACUAUCCUCCAGCACAUUUCAAAUUUUUUUCCUCGUGGCUCUCUUCAUUAUCCAACUUUCACUAUCAUACAUAGGAAUUGGCUAUACUAUGGCAUGAACUAUUCUGACUUGGGUAUCUCCUGCUUUAUCUUUACAUUUGAGGACCUUACCUGGUUCCUUUAUAGCUUCCUCUCACCUCUUAGAUUCUGAUUUCUUGACUCCAUUCUGAUUAAUGGAUUAAUUCUGAGCCAAAGCAUGGAAGACCUUGAGGUAUUCCAAGGUUUUCAUUUAGGCACUGAGUAAAAACAUGGCUGUUUGUUAUUAUUUUUUAAUUUAGUCUUAUUUAUCUGAAGAUGAUUACGUGCAUGAUAUUUUAAACUUUUUUCAUCUUUUAAACCUUUUUUAAUUUGUUCAUGUUUUGUCUGUUUUUUGUCUGUUUCAAUUGUUUAGGUUGUCAUGCUUGCAUUGAUUGUACUUGUAUGUCACCCUAAGAUUUUUUAAAGUGGUGGGAUAGAAAUAUUUUAAUCAACUAAAUAAAAGAACGAAUCAUUAAUAGUCUUGCAUCAAUUUUCCUGAGCACUUCUGUCUAGAUUGGAUAUUAA